AUGCAGCUGGCGAAUCCAAAAUAGGACGAAACGCACGUCUAACUGGAU
rfam:Schistosoma haematobium scaffold778_1, whole genome shotgun sequence.